CUGAGCAACUGGUCUCCCUGAGUCUUCGUCUCUCGCCUGACUCCUUCCCCGCGCUGGCCGCGGCACCUGGCACCUGGCGCCCGAACGUGGGGCUUGGAAUAUAAGCAUUCGGAGCGUUCUUCCAGUGGAAGGAGAAUCGGGAGUUCCGAGAAGACCGCUGCUAGGAGGACCCGGGACAUAUUCGCAGUCACUCUAAUCUCCCAGGCGCUCUGACUCUUGGAAAUGCAAUUGCAGAUCAAGCCACGCAUAUUGGACUGUCUGCUGUUUCGCAAGCACAACAGUCACAUGCUCUUCAUCACCAAGCUGCACAAGUUUUACGUUAUCAAUAUGGUAUAACACAGCAGCAAGCACAAGAAAUUGUUAAAAACUGUUCCUCGUGUGCGCCUCUCCUUCCAGUACCUCAUUUUGGAGUCAACCCUCGAGGACUCCAUCCAAACGACAUCUGGCAGAUGGAUGUCACUUAUUAUCCUUUUUUUGGGUCAUUAAAAUACUACACAUCACCAUAGAUACCUUUUCUCAUUACAUGCUUGCUUCACCUAUGACUGGAGAAACUGCCACCCAUGUAAUACAACACCGACUAUAUUGUUUCUCUAUCCUAGGCAUUCCUCGAUCCAUUAAAACUGAUAAUGGCCCAGCAUAUGUUAGUAAACCCUUUGCCAAAUUCUGUCAGACUUUCCAUAUUAAACAUGUUACUGGAUUACCUUAUAACCCUCAAGGACAAGGAAUUGUUGAACGUGCUAAUCUCUCACUAAAAAACACGUUAAAGAAAUUAAAAAGGGGGAGAUGGUAUAAGUAUUCUCUCAAAACCCUUCUUAACCAUGCUCUUAACGUUCUUAAUUUUUUAACUUUUGAUGCUUCCAAUAGAUCUGCAGCUGAGAGACAUUGGUCUCCUGAUUUGCCCUCCAAACCAGUGGUGUAUUGGAAAGACCCAUUAACUAAUCUAUUACAUGGUCCUGACCCAGUAUUGAUAUGGGGGAGAGGAUAUGUUUGUGUUUUUCCCACAGACGCUGAUACACCCAGGUGGAUCCCAGAAUGUUGUGUACGACAUGCCCAAGAGCAAGAUAGAAAAACUGCGCAGGAAGAUGCUUCGACUAACCAUGACCUCGAGGACGAGAACAACGACCAGAAGGCCUCCUGCGACAAGAGAUGAAACUCUUCUGUUUUUGGCUCAACUGCUAAGCAUUAUUUGGGUUUUGCAUACAUUUCAAACGCCUGUGUGGGCGGAUAAUUAUUGGGCAUUUGUACCUAAUCCUCCUUUGUUGCACCCUAUGUCAUGGGGCGACAACGAUGAUGUUACUGUUUAUGUAAAUAAUACUCGAGUCUUAAGUUUUCCUUCUUCCACUCAUAUACAACCUAUCUCUAUUGUAUAUAAUUACACUGGAAUGUCUACUUCAUUACCCCUAUGUUUUUCUAAAACAAAUGAGAAUUGUACAUUAAUAGAAAGAUACUCUGAUUGGGAUGGAAACUUUUACUAAUGGAACGCACUGUGGAGUAGAUAUGAUGUAUAUAUUUCACAACAGUAGUGAAACUAGAGUGGGAAAAGGCAAUCCCUCUGAGCAUAUUCCCGAAUGUAGACAAAAAUACCCAAGCAAAAGUGUAUAUGGACCCUCAUGGCGUUUGUGCCAUCAUAAUUAUACUAUAUGUUACAAAGAUCUAUGUGAUUGGAGUGAUUAUAGAGAAACAACCUACAGGUCCCGAAAUUUAUUAUAUGGAAUAUGCACAAGGAAUAACAUCACCUUUUUUACCAUGCUGUGGAAGUUGGUUGCAGCUCUUGAUUAUAUUGCUGUUGCAAAACAAAAAGUUGUAUGGCAACAUAUAGGGACACAGGAUGCUAUUUCUGUUAAUGGCACAGUAAAAAAUGUAACUAUCAUAGCUUGUGUUUCUGAACCAUAUGGUGUUAUCAGUGGAGAACUUACUGUAAAAAAGAACAAUGAAUCUUACGAAAUUACUUGUAAAGAUUGCAUCUUAUCCAAUUGUGUUAAUGCUUCACGAAACCACUCAUCCAUAUUACUGGUCAAACAACCUCCAUUUGUAUUUUUACCUGUUAACAUCACCACAGAGUGGUAUCAAGAUCCUUCUGUGAUUAUUUUGCAAAAGUUAACUAACCUUUUAAAUCGGGCCAAAUGAUUUGUUGGGAUGUUAAUGACUGGAAUUGCCGCACUUAUUACUUUAAUAGCCUCCACUGCAAUGUCUGCAAUAUCUCUUACGGAAAGUGUGCAAACUGCAUCCUAUGUCAAUGAAUUAUCCCAUAAUGUUUCUCUGGUUUUGAAAAUACAGGAAAAUUGGGAUAGCCUGAUUGAACAGAAAUUAAAUGCUCUACAAGAUACAGUAAUAACCUUAGGAGACCAGUUAUAUGCUUUGCAAGUACAAUCUUCUCUGAAAUGUCAUGCCUUAUACAAACAUAUUUGUGUUACUUCACAUAGAUAUAAUCAAAGUGAUGUACCUUGGGAUAGCGUGAAAAAUCAUUUGCUAGGAAUAUGGCAUAAUUCCAAUACUUCUCUAGAUUUGCUUAAGCUGCAUAAAACUAUCCAAGACAUAACCAAUGCGCCGGCAAUAAAAAGUUGAUACAGCAAAAGAAACUGAGCAAAUAUUCGACGCAUUAACCAGCCAUUUCCCAAGCCUCACGGGUGUUUCACAUUUUAUCAUUCUAGCUGGUAUUGGAGCUCUAGCAUUUAUCGCCAUGAUAACGAUUUCUCCAUAUUUUGUGAGAAUUGUUGUUGGACAAAUGAGAAAUGUGCUUUUGGACUUGAAACGUUUUAAAUUAGAAUCAAUGGCUAGUGAAAUUCCCACGCGACGCUUUGUCUAAGAAAUAAGGGGUAUAUGUUGGGAGCAGGAACCAGGGGUCUGGCAGUGAACGGGUGUGGAAAACCACACACUGAAGCUGGACCUCAACCAGUUCCUUAUCCUGCAAUAACCUCAGCCUUCUAGACAAAGCAUCGCGCUGAUAUUAACCUGGGAAUAGCUUCAUAACAUAAGCAAAGAAGUUUCUCAUGGGCCCAGGAACAUGUUUACCUCCUGGGCUGCACAACAAAGAAGUUUCUCAUGGGCCCAAGAACAUGUUUACCUUUGCUGUAUGCACAAGAAAGUGUCCUGAAGUGACUUGUACUGCUCUUUGUUUUGAAACACUAUAAAAACUCUGGAGUCCUUUAAUAAAUCGCCUUUUGCCUCCUGA